rnacentral:rRNA from 1 species
UACAGAGGGGGCAAGCGUUGUUCGGAAUUACUGGGCGUAAAGGGCGCGUAGGCGGCCAACUAAGUCAGACGUGAAAUCCCCUGGCUCAACCAGGGAACUGCGUCUGAUACUGGAUGGCUUGAAUCCGGGAGAGGGAUGUGGAAUUCCAGGUGUAGCGGUGAAAUGCGUAGAUAUCUGGAGGAACACCGGUGGCGAAGGCGGCAUCCUGGACCGGUAUUGGCGCUGAGGCGCGAAAGCCAGGGGAGCGAACGGG